rnacentral:rRNA from 1 species
UACGGGGGGGCAAGCGUUGUUCGGAAUUACUGGGCGUAAAGGGCUCGUAGGUGGCCAACUAAGUCAGACGUGAAAUCCCUCGCUCUAACCGGGGAACUGCGUCUGAUACUGGAUGGCUUGAGUUUGGGAGAGGGAUGCGGAAUUCCAGGUGUAGCGGUGAAAUGCGUAAGUAUAUGGAGGAACACCGGUGGCGAAGGCGGCAUCCUGGACCGGUAUUGACGCUGAGGCGCGAAAGCUAGGGGAGCAAACGGGG